GUAAGCUCCACCGCUGCCACCAAGUAUGCAUUCUAGCUUCUCAAUUAUCGCACUCACUUUAUAAUUUGUAAAAAGAAUGUUAUAGCACAUGUGGCCCGUCACAAGAUUUUCGUGUAAUGACUUGCGAUUAUUGCAUUGUUUAUCAUCACGACGCGUGUUGUUGAUUAAGCAGGUUAUCGAGGUAGAGGUUGACGGGGUGAAGCAGAGGAGUGGAUUGCUCAUAAAGAAAUGCAGGUACUUGGAGAACAGCGGGCGCGUUGGGAUGUGCGUCAACAUGUGAAAGAUCCCCACACAGAGCUUCUUCACCGACGAGUUCGGCCUUCCCCUCACCAUGAAUCCAAACUUUGAAGACAUGAGAUGCGAAAUGAUAUAUGGUCGGGUGCCCCCACCACUGGAAGAAGAUCUAGUGUCGAAAUAGCCCUGCUAUCCCAGCCUCUAUGAGUGCGCCAAGAUUUGGCAACACUCUUCAAGUACCGAACCAAUCCAGCGCUGAGCUUGCACUAACAUGCAUCAUCAGUCGCAAAUUUGUUUUGCUGCUACAAUUUUUCAGGUUCCAUAUUGACGCCCUCCACUGCAAUAUGUCCCAAAUUUCAGAACUAGAGAAAGCAACGAAAACGUUCCGGAGUUCAGAUCUUGGUCGCUUUCAGUUUCUUCUGCAAGCGUUCACAAGGGUUUUGAUACAUAAAUGAUUGUGCAUGUUAUCUGAUAGGCCAGAAU